UUAAUGAUACUGAGCCAUAAAGACUGAAUUUACUGCUAUCUUCAUAUGAGCAAUUGGAUCCAGAUUUCAGAAGAACAGCAAAGAAUGUAGAAGGAAUUCCAUGGCAACUUGGAAGUCUGAUAGCAGUGACUCUUUGACUCAUCCUCAAGAAGAGCAGCUGUGAAUUUAAGUUUUAUUGAGGUGGUGUCAAUGCUCCAUGAUCCUAUAGCAUCUUGUUAGAUGUAGACAUCAUUUACAUGGAAAGAAUAGUAUUUAUCCUGUCAAAUCCAGUUAAAUGGAGACUGCAUUUAACAAGCACAAUUAUGUCCUCUCUUGUCUAUUAUGCGGCAUUUAAUCAGAACUGCUUAAAGAAAGCCUACAGAGGCAUAUUCAAGCUCAAGUUCCUCAUUUCCACCAAAACCAAAGAAAAAUAUUCUGCAUAUUAUGUUUCUUAACAUUUCAUGACUAAAAGCUUAUCUUUUCAUCUUUUUCUCAACGUAAAAGGUUUUAAUUUUGUGCCUGAAUUUCUAGUACUAUGCCAAAAAGAGUGGGGAGAGAAAAUAACCAUGCCUCGUUCCUGAUUUUCAAGAAAGAGAGAGGAAAACAGGUGCCAUGUGAUUCUCUGCCAGAAUAUUGCUAUAUAAAUAAUCAUGCUCUUUGAAAAUAAUACCUGUAAGUAAA